UCCUAGUUAACCUAGGCAGUCUCGUUAGAGUUCCCGCCAUUACGCGCUGGCAACUAACGAUAAGGGUUGCGCUCGUUGCUGGACUUAACCAAACACCUCACGGCACGAGCUGACGACAGCCAUGCAGCACCUAUAUAGAGACCCUUUCGGGAUAUGCAAUCUCUUGCAUAGUCCUCUACAUUUCGAGCCCAGGUAAGGUUCUUCGCGUUGCAUCGAAUUAAACCACAUGCUCCACUGCUUGUGCGGGCCCCCGUCAAUUCUUUUGAGUUUCACCCUUGCGAGCGUACUCCCCAGGUGGCAUACUUAACGCGUUAGCUCCGAAACAGAAAGGGUUGAGCCCUCCUACUUCUAGUAUGCAUCGUUUACGGCUAGGACUAC
rnacentral:misc_RNA from 1 species